AUUACGAGAAUAAUAUACAUGAAGGAAACCUGCCCAAAAAGGCAUACAUACGUAUACGUGCAACAUACGUAGGGCGAGCAGACAAGGCUGCUAUAGACAACUAUAUACCUCAAAACUAGAAGCCGGCAAGGCCACAUAUAACCUAACUAGACAUACUCUCUACAGACCUCUAAUAGAAAUAUAAUUGUACAAAGACUGGACUGAGCCACGUCACACCCAUACAUAUAUAUAUACAAACACAUAUCGUACCAAAUUCAAAAGUAGCUCCGGAUCAAGUGGAGCACGCCAACUCUCGCUGAUCAAGGACCCUAAGAAUGGGGACCAUCAGCUUGCCUACCUGCACCUGCGGGCAUGAAACGUAGGCCCCGUGAAAUAGGGCGUCAGUAAGAAAAAUGUACUGAGUAUGUAAGGCAUAAAAAUUAGUACGUAAAAGACAUAGAUAAAACAUGGAAUAAAGAAACACAUCUUUAAAUCUGAAUAACUUUGUAAAUUCUGAAACAUUUAGAAUAUCAUGCACGUGCGUAUAAAUGUCAUGUCAUGCAUAGGUAUGGAUGUACAUAAUAUCAUCAAGCCAUUGAGGGAAUCCCAUCAUAUCGUCCCGGCCACUGUGGGCAACAUUAUCAACAUAUACCAACUGAUCAGGUGGUGGUGCGUAUAUAACGCUGUAACCUUUUCCAUAUCCCAUAUAAAUAUACAUACAUACAUACAUACAUACAUAUAUAUAUAUACGCGUAUAUAAUGCCAUAUGGUCAUGGGUCAAUGUACAUAUAUAAAUGAAUGAAAUGCAUGAAAAAUAUAUAAUAAUCUCAAUAUUCCUUCCGGACAAACUUUUUCAACUGCGUAUUAAUUUGAAACCCAUGAACAGAAGAUAUAACAAUAUGUCAUAUGGGGAAUCAAGAACAAAGAGACCCCUAGUAUUUCUAUGAAUAGAGUCAUUUAUGAACUGUGCGUUUGCUUGUUUUUUCUGUAUAACUUGGACUAUGCCAAAAAGAAACAAGAGAUAGCCUUAACAUACCUGGAGUAAAGAAAACUCCGUAUAAUAUUCUUGAAUAUUGCAUCGUAUUCUUUUGUAACUGCAAAAUUUUGAUGGAAUUAUGCUGAAGUACUUUGAACGAAAACAAGCUUCUGCUUCUUUGAAUUUUUGAAUGAAACGAGCUUUUGCUCCUUACAUUUUAAUCUAACCUUAGGAUCAGAACGCUUAUGAGAUAAGACUUUAUAUUCAAGUCUUAUUUUGGUUACAUUCUAA
rnacentral:lncRNA from 1 species